AGAGUUUGAUCAUGGCUCAGAGCGAACGCUGGCGGCAGGCUUAACACAUGCAAGUCGAGCGGGCACUUUCGGGUGUCAGCGGCAGACGGGUGAGUAACGCGUGGGAACGUACCCUUUGGUUCGGAACAACUCCGGGAAACUGGAGCUAAAACCGGAUACGCCCUUCGGGGGAAAAAUUUAUUGCCGAGGGAUCGGCCCGCGUCUGAUUAGCUAGUUGGUGGGGUAACGGCCCACCAAGGCGACGAUCAGUAGCUGGUCUGAGAGGAUGAUCAGCCACACUGGGACUGAGACACGGCCCAGACUCCUACGGGAGGCAGCAGUGGGGAAUAUUGGACAAUGGGGGCAACCCUGAUCCAGCCAUGCCGCGUGAGUGAUGAAGGCCCUAGGGUUGUAAAGCUCUUUCGGCGGGGACGAUAAUGACGGUACCCGCAGAAGAAGCCCCGGCUAACUUCGUGCCAGCCGCCGCGGUAAUUC
rnacentral:rRNA from 1 species